GACGAACGCUGGCGGCGUGCCUAAUACAUGCAAGUAGAACGCUGAAGGAAGGAGCUUGCUCUUUCCGGAUGAGUUGCGAACGGGUGAGUAACGCGUAGGUAACCUGCCUGGUAGCGGGGGAUAACUAUUGGAAACGAUAGCUAAUACCGCAUAACAGUAGAUAUCGCAUGAUAACUACUUGAAAGGUGCAAUUGCACCACUACCAGAUGGACCUGCGUUGUAUUAGCUAGUUGGUGAGGUAACGGCUCACCAAGGCAACGAUACAUAGCCGACCUGAGAGGGUGAUCGGCCACACUGGGACUGAGACACGGCCCAGACUCCUACGGGAGGCAGCAGUAGGGAAUCUUCGGCAAUGGACGGAAGUCUGACCGAGCAACGCCGCGUGAGUGAAGAAGGUUUUCGGAUCGUAAAGCUCUGUUGUAAGAGAAGAACGAGUGUGAGAGUGGAAAGUUCACACU
rnacentral:rRNA from 1 species